AAGUCGUAACAAGGUUUCCGUAGGUGAACCUGCGGAAGGAUCAUUAAUGAAUCGCAAGGACGCUCUUUAGGUCCGACCCUUCAUUUUCUCACACUGUGCACCCACUGUCUUUACACCUUUUUUAACACCAAGUCAUAAGAAUGUCAACAGUCUCUUAAUUGAGCAUCAAUUGUAAUAAAACUUUCGGCAACGGAUCUCUUGGCUCCC
rnacentral:misc_RNA from 1 species